AGAGUUUGAUCAUGGCUCAGAUUGAACGCUGGCGGCAGGCCUAACACAUGCAAGUCGAGCGGUAGCACAGAGAGCUUGCUCUCGGGUGACGAGCGGCGGACGGGUGAGUAAUGUCUGGGAAACUGCCUGAUGGAGGGGGAUAACUACUGGAAACGGUAGCUAAUACCGCAUAACGUCGCAAGACCAAAGUGGGGGACCUUCGGGCCUCAUGCCAUCAGAUGUGCCCAGAUGGGAUUAGCUAGUAGGUGGGGUAACGGCUCACCUAGGCGACGAUCCCUAGCUGGUCUGAGAGGAUGACCAGCCACACUGGAACUGAGACACGGUCCAGACUCCUACGGGAGGCAGCAGUGGGGAAUAUUGCACAAUGGGCGCAAGCCUGAUGCAGCCAUGCCGCGUGUGUGAAGAAGGCCUUCGGGUUGUAAAGCACUUUCAGCGGGGAGGAAGGCGUUAAGGUUAAUAACCUCCGAUUGACGUUACCCGCAGAAGAAGCACCGGCUAACUCCGUGCCAGCAGCCGCGGUAAUACGGAGGGUGCAAGCGUUAAUCGGAAUUACUGGGCGUAAAGCGCACGCAGGCGGUCUGUCAAGUCGGAUGUGAAAUCCCCGGGCUCAACCUGGGAACUGCAUUCGAAACUGGCAGGCUAGAGUCUUGUAGAGGGGGGUAGAAUUCCAGGUGUAGCGGUGAAAUGCGUAGAGAUCUGGAGGAAUACCGGUGGCGAAGGCGGCCCCCUGGACAAAGACUGACGCUCAGGUGCGAAAGCGUGGGGAGCAAACAGGAUUAGAUACCCUGGUAGUCCACGCCGUAAACGAUGUCGAUUUGGAGGUUGUGCCCUUGAGGCGUGGCUUCCGGAGCUAACGCGUUAAAUCGACCGCCUGGGGAGUACGGCCGCAAGGUUAAAACUCAAAUGAAUUGACGGGGGCCCGCACAAGCGGUGGAGCAUGUGGUUUAAUUCGAUGCAACGCGAAGAACCUUACCUGGUCUUGACAUCCACAGAACUUUCCAGAGAUGGAUUGGUGCCUUCGGGAACUGUGAGACAGGUGCUGCAUGGCUGUCGUCAGCUCGUGUUGUGAAAUGUUGGGUUAAGUCCCGCAACGAGCGCAACCCUUAUCCUUUGUUGCCAGCGGUCCGGCCGGGAACUCAAAGGAGACUGCCAGUGAUAAACUGGAGGAAGGUGGGGAUGACGUCAAGUCAUCAUGGCCCUUACGACCAGGGCUACACACGUGCUACAAUGGCAUAUACAAAGAGAAGCGACCUCGCGAGAGCAAGCGGACCUCAUAAAGUAUGUCGUAGUCCGGAUUGGAGUCUGCAACUCGACUCCAUGAAGUCGGAAUCGCUAGUAAUCGUAGAUCAGAAUGCUACGGUGAAUACGUUCCCGGGCCUUGUACACACCGCCCGUCACACCAUGGGAGUGGGUUGCAAAAGAAGUAGGUAGCUUAACCUUCGGGAGGGCGCUUACCACUUUGUGAUUCAUGACUGGGGUGAAGUCGUAACAAGGUAACCGUAGGGGAACCUGCGGUUGGAUCACCUCCUU
rnacentral:rRNA from 1 species